GAUGAACGCUAGCGGCAGGCUUAACACAUGCAAGUCGAGGGGCAGCAUUAUCUGCUUGCAGAUAGAUGGCGACCGGCGCACGGGUGCGUAACGCGUAUGCAACCUACCUCAUACAGGAGGAUAGCCCGAAGAAAUUCGGAUUAAUACUCCAUAGUAUCAUACUUUCGCCUGUUAGUAUGAUUAAAGAUUUAUCGGUAUGAGAUGGGCAUGCGUUAGAUUAGCUAGUUGGAGAGGUAACGGCUCACCAAGGCUACGAUCUAUAGGGGGCCUGAGAGGGUGAUCCCCCACACUGGUACUGAGACACGGACCAGACUCCUACGGGAGGCAGCAGUGAGGAAUAUUGGUCAAUGGAGGCAACUCUGAACCAGCCAUGCCGCGUGAAGGAAGAAGGCGUUCUGCGUUGUAAACUUCUUUUAUUUGGGAAGAAACUCCUCUACGUGUAGAGGACUGACGGUACCAAACGAAUAAGCACCGGCUAACUCCG
rnacentral:rRNA from 1 species